CUGGGUGUGGCGCAGAUGGUAGCGCGCAAGAAUGGGGUUCUUGAGGCCGCUGGUUCAAGUCCAGUCACCCAGACCA
rnacentral:tRNA from 1 species